CAGAGCAGAUCCCGGUGCCCACGGCAUUUUUCUGCAUUCACAGUGGCGUUAAAAAGAGCAGAAGCCAGCCUGCUGGAUCUCGGCAUUUUCCUUAAUAAACUCCCUUUGAGCCAAACACUUUGGCUUCACCUUCAGUAGCUGGCAGAUGUCUGCAGAUCUUAUUAUUCUGGUUACCAAGUGCAGAGCUAGUUUGGUUAGAAACUCGUGUGAAGUGGUACAUCAAACAUUGGCACCGGCCCAGCGCCGGCAGAACAAGAGCACAGCGCUCCCCUGCCCGCUGCCUGCGCUGGGCUGGGUCGCUCGAAACAAGAAGAGGGCCAUCUGCCUUAUGGAAAUCAGCUCCCGAGCACUCCAAAUAUUUAAGCUAAACAAAAAGAAAACAUUGGUCGAAUGCCUGGCUGCUCCGUGGCGAAAGUGCAGGCGUGGAGGGGGACGUGAGAGCCGGGGCUGCAGCGCGGGGAGAACGCGGGACGGGGAGGUGGGAGCUGGGGGGAGCGGACCUGCCUCCUCCUUCCUUCCCAGCAUGUUCCUCCGUCCCUGCCCCAGCACAGUCGGACAGGGCCAGCCCCUUCUCUCUCUCUCCUUCUCCCUGAGUUUUAUUCCCCUGGCCAUCGCGACGGUACCUGCACGCUCCGCGUGGAAAGCUGUUUACGAAGUCUUCUCUGAACUUUGUGGACUCUGGCAUUUUGCCAUUGCCAAGGCUAAAAGCCCUCUUUGGGGUAGGAUCUCUCUCAUCACUGAACUACACGCUCCCCUACCAUCAGCCUCUUCUGUUUGUAAAGGGGGGAGGUUAAGAAAAGGCUGCAAACCCGUACCCACCGCGUGUCCCUGCAUGCUGCUGCCGGCUCAGCCCCUGCGACACUGCCACUGGCUCCCUGCAUCUGCCUGCUCCCCUCCCAGAUGAGCGGUGUCACGGGGCGAGACAUUUCUACCACUACAGUUACACCAAAAACAUAGACUGUAGCUCUGCCUUUACCGCUGUGAGGUGCUUUCUUCCUGCAUCUGUUCAGUUGCAGGUGAGCCCGGGGGCAGUUCAGAGCUAAAGCCAAGUCGGAUCAAAG
rnacentral:lncRNA from 1 species